GACGAACGCUGGCGGCGUGCUUAACACAUGCCAGUCGAACGGAAAGGCCCUGCUUUUGUGGGGUGCUCGAGUGGCGAACGGGUGAGUAACACGUGAGUAACCUGCCCUUGACUUUGGGAUAACUUCAGGAAACUGGGGCUAAUACCGGAUAGGAGCUCCUGCUGCAUGGUGGGGGUUGGAAAGUUUCGGCGGUUGGGGAUGGACUCGCGGCUUAUCAGCUUGUUGGUGGGGUAGUGGCUUACCAAGGCUUUGACGGGUAGCCGGCCUGAGAGGGUGACCGGCCACAUUGGGACUGAGAUACGGCCCAGACUCCUACGGGAGGCAGCAGUGGGGAAUAUUGCACAAUGGGCGGAAGCCUGAGGCAGCAACGCCGCGUGCGGGAUGACGGCCUUCGGGUUGGAAACCGCUUUCGCCUGUGACGAAGCGUGAGUGACGGUAAUGGGUAAAGAAGCACCGGCUAACUACGUG
rnacentral:rRNA from 1 species